rnacentral:lncRNA from 1 species
GUAUUGGGAAUAUGCAAAUUGCAAUAACAGGUCUUGCGGGUGGUGUGAAGACGAUUCGUCGCUUAAGUUUGGCGUCUGGUCUCUGUUAGUGGUUCGGUCUCUUUCACAUGAGCGAUGAAGCUUGUCUCACCAAUGAUCAUGGUCAGUUGCAUCCUGAUUCAUCCAUCAUAUCUCUUUGUGUUGGCUUUGGCAUUUUGCUUAUACCUCAUUCCUGCGACCUAUAGUACUUGAUAAAUGCAUGUUGUCAUUCAAUCCGCUGCAACAGAUAUGUUCGCCGAUAAUUUUUGCAAGUUGGAACUGAAGAUUAUAAUAUUUUGAGUCCGAUGUGUUGAAUUUGUCUGCUGAGUUCAAUUCAAAAGUUUUCUAUUUUGUUGAUUUCUAGAGCCGU